AUCCAGCUGACGAGUUGUCUUAAAUAGGACGAAAUACGCGUCCUGGAU
rnacentral:hammerhead_ribozyme from 1 species